rnacentral:rRNA from 1 species
UACAGAGGGUGCGAGCGUUGUUCGGAAUUAUUGGGCGUAAAGGGCGCGUAGGCGGUGCCACAAGUCACCUGUGAAAUCCCCGGGCUUAACUCGGGGCCUGCAGGCGAAACUGUGGUGCUGGAGUAUGGGAGAGGUGCGUGGAAUUCCCGGUGUAGCGGUGAAAUGCGUAGAUAUCUGGAGGAACACCGGUGGCGAAGGCGGCAUCCUGGACCGGUAUUGACGCUGAGGCGCGAAAGCUAGGGGAGCAAACGGG